rnacentral:rRNA from 1 species
ACUUAAAUUGAAGAGUUUGAUCAUGGCUCAGAUUGAACGCUGGCGGCAGGCCUAACACAUGCAAGUCGAGCGGUAGCACAGAGAGCUUGCUCUCGGGUGACGAGCGGCGGACGGGUGAGUAAUGUCUGGGAAACUGCCUGAUGGAGGGGGAUAACUACUGGA